AUUGAACGCUGGCGGCAGGCUUAACACAUGCAAGUCGAGCGGGGUGAUGGUGCUUGCACUAUCACUUAGCGGCGGACGGGUGAGUAAUGCUUCGGAAUCUGCCUAUUAGUGGGGGACAACAUCUCGAAAGGGAUGCUAAUACCGCAUACGUCCUGCGGGAGAAAGCAGGGGAUCACUUGUGACCUUGCGCUAAUAGAUGAGCCUAAGUCGGAUUAGCGAGUUGGUGGGGUAAAGGCCUACCAAGGCGACGAUCUGUAGCGGGUCUGAGAGGAUGAUCCGCCACACUGGGGCUGAGACACGGCCCAGACUCCGACGGGAGGCAGCCGUGGGGAAUAUUGGACAAGGGGGGGAACCCUGAUCCAGCCAUGCCGCGUGUGUGAAGAAGGCCUUAUGGUUGUAAAGCACUUUAAGCGAGGAGGAGGCUCUUUUGGUUAAUACCCAAGAUGAGUGGACGUUACUCGCAGAAUAAGCACCGGCUAACUCUGUGCCAGCCGCCGCCGUAA
rnacentral:rRNA from 1 species